rnacentral:rRNA from 1 species
UGUCGUCAGCUCGUGUCGUGAGAUGUUGGGUUAAGUCCCGCAACGAGCGCAACCCUUAUUAUCAGUUGCCAGCAUUCAGUUGGGCACUCUGGUGAGACUGCCGGUGAUAAACCGGAGGAAGGUGGGGAUGACGUCAAGUCAUCAUGCCCCUUAUGACCUGGGCUACACACGUGCUACAAUGGACGAUACAACGAGUCGCGAGACCGCGAGGUUUAGCUAAUCUCUGAAAGUCGUUCUCAGUUCGGAUCGUAGGCCGCAACUCGCCUACGUGAAGUCGGAAUCGCUAGUAAUCGCGGAUCAGCAUGCCGCGGUGAAUACGUUCCCGGG